AGGCAGAGAGCAGCUAAAUAACUCGAUCAAGGCCACAGUUGCUACCCCAGGAGCACCCUAAAACUUCGGGUCACCACAUCUCAAUCCUAGGAGGGACAAGGAGCCGGUCCCCCCAAGACCCAGAUCCGCCGGCCCACCCCGAGCAUUCCCAGGAGCUCCCGCAGGCGGGCCUCUUCCGGCGCUGCCACCAAUGAGGACGAGCGACGGACUGGACAGGCGGGGCCCCGGGCCAGUACGGAGACGGAGACGUUGAAGAUGGACGAGGUGAGGAGCCACUAAAGAGCGAGCUCUCUGAGACAGGGGGCGGUGCACUGAUGACAGGCGGACACGCCAACCAAUAGCGUCUCGACACCCUCAUGACCCCGCCUUCUGACUCCUAAACAUCUAAUCAGGUGAGUGGCGGAGGCGGGUCAAAGGGAAG